AUUGAACGCUGGCGGCAUGCCUUACACAUGCAAGUCGAACGGCAGCGGACCUUCGGGUGCCGGCGAGUGGCGAACGGGUGAGUAAUAUAUCGGAACGUACCUUUCAGUGGGGGAUAACGUAGCGAAAGUUACGCUAAUACCGCAUAUUCUGUGAGCAGGAAAGCAGGGGAUCGCAAGACCUUGCGCUGAUUGAGCGGCCGAUAUCAGAUUAGCUAGUUGGUGAGGUAAAGGCUCACCAAGGCGACGAUCUGUAGCGGGUCUGAGAGGAUGAUCCGCCACACUGGAACUGAGACACGGUCCAGACUCCUACGGGAGGCAGCGGUGGGGAAUUUUGGACAAUGGGCGCAAGCCUGAUCCAGCCAUGCCGCGUGAGUGAAGAAGGCCUCGGUUGUAAG
rnacentral:rRNA from 1 species